rnacentral:tRNA from 1 species
ACCAGCAUGGCAUAGUGGUUUGAGUGUUGGACUAGGACUCUGGAGAGCAGGGUUCGAUUCCCAGCUCAGCCA